CCCUACGGGGGGCAGCAGUGGGGAAUAUUGCACAAUGGGGGAAACCCUGAUGCAGCAACGCCGCGUGAAGGAAGACGGUUUUCGGAUUGUAAACUUCUUUUCUUAGUGAAGAAGCAAGUGACGGUAGCUAAGGAAUAAGCAUCGGCUAACUACGUGCCAGCAGCCGCGGUAAUACGUAGGAUGCGAGCGUUAUCCGGAUUUAUUGGGUUUAAAGGGUGCGUAGGCGGGAUGCCAAGUCAGCGGUAAAAAUGCGGUGCUCAACGCCGUCGAGCCGUUGAAACUGGCGUUCUUGAGUGGGCGAGACG
rnacentral:rRNA from 1 species